GACGAACGCUGGCGGCGUGCUUAACACAUGCAAGUCGAACGGAAAGGCCCCUUUGGGGGUACUCGAGUGGCGAACGGGUGAGUAACACGUGAGUAACCUGCCCUUGACUUCGGGAUAACUUCAGGAAACUGGGGCAAUUACGGGAUGGGAAUCCUUGCGCCAGGGGGGGGGUGGGAAAGCUUCGGCGGUUUUGGAUGGACUCGCGGCUUAUCAGCUUGUUGGUGGGGAAGUGGCUUACCAAGGCUUUGACGGGUAGCCGGCCUGAGAGGGCGACCGGCCACAUUGGGACUGAGAUACGGCCCAGACUCCUACGGGAGGCAGCAGUGGGGAAUAUUGCACAAUGGGCGGAAGCCUGAUGCAGCAACGCCGCGUGCGGGAUGACGGCCUUCGGGUUGUAAACCGCUUUCAGCAGGGGCGAAGCUUGUGGUGACGGUACCUGCAGAAGAAGCACCGGCUAACUACGUG
rnacentral:rRNA from 1 species